CAGCAGUAGCCGCGGGAAUACGAAGGGUGCAAGCGUUACUCGGAAUUACUGGGCGUAAAGCGUGCGUAGGUGGUGGUUUAAGUCCGUUGUGAAAGCCCUGGGCUCAACCUGGGAAUUGCAGUGGAUACUGGGUCACUAGAGUGUGGUAGAGGAUAGUGGAAUUUCCGGUGUAGCAGUGAAAUGCGUAGAGAUCGGAAGGAACAUCUGUGGCGAAGGCGACUAUCUGGGCCAACACUGACACUGAGGCACGAAAGCGUGGGGAGCAAACAGGAUUAGAUACCCGGGUAGUCCCUGUCUCUUAUAC
rnacentral:rRNA from 1 species